UCAACUUCCCAUGCUCAGUGAUCUACCCAC
rnacentral:piRNA from 1 species